GUAUAUAGUUCAAUAAUUUUUUUUUUUUUUUGAGACAGAGUCUCACCCUAUUACCCAGGCUGGAGUGCAAUGGCGCAGUCUCGGCUCACUGCAACCUCCGUCUCCUGGGUUCAAGUGAUUCUCCUGCCUCAGGCUCCCGAGUAGCUGGCAUUAGAGGCGCGCACCACUGCGCCUGGCUAAUUUUUUGUAUCUUUAGUAGAGACGGGGUUUCACUAUGUUGGCCAGGCUGGUCUCGAACUCCUGACUUCGUGAUCCGCCUGCCUCAGCCUCCCAAAGUGCUGGGAUUACAGGCAUAAGCCACUGCGCCCAGCCCUAAACAUUUGUAGAAUAAUAGUCCUAGUUUUACAGAUGAGGAAACAGGCAAUAAAGGGAAGUAACUACCCCAUGUCACACAGCCAGCAAGUGGCAGAGUUUGGGUUCAAACUCAGCCCAUCUGAUUUCUUUUUAGGACUGCAUUCUUUCUGUGAACUGGCUAUCCUCACACUUAGACCUGGCUGCCCAGGGCACAUCCUAUAGCCACUCCUCCCAGAGGCCCUGCCGUAUCCCUGGGGCACUGGGAGGACACAGAGCAUAGGUCCCAAUCCUCAGUGAACCCAUGAAUCUUCCCCCUCUUUCAGCUCAACCCCCAUUCUUUCCCCAAAUACUCCCCACUUCCAGAAUAUCUAAUAUUAUAUCCUCAAUUAGAUUAAACUCUUAUUUAUACCACGAAAAGAGUUUAUCUUUUAAGAAACCCCUCCUGAGACCAAGAAAUAGAAGGGCUACUUAGAAUGAGGAGGUGGGAUAUCUGGAAAACAAAGCAGAAGUAGCUCGGAGUGUCUCUCUGUGUGUGUGUGAGAGAGAGAGAGAGAGAGAGAGAGUGUGUGAGCAUGUGUGUGAGUAUGUGUGAGAGUGUGUGUGUCAGUGAGUGUGUGUGUGAGUGUGUGUGUGAGAGUGUGUGUGUGAUGAGCACUCCAGGCUCCCUUUCCCAAACCAGCUGAAAGAUCCCCUUUUUCUCUUCUUUAAAACAGUUCUGAAAUCUAGCCAUGCCACCAAUACCUGCAGAAACAUUCUGGAUGGAACAGGCUUGCCCAGACCCUCCUCUCCAGAAGCUGGGCCCUUUAUGUUCCAUCUCUGAGUGAGUGGCAGCAAGGACCAGUGCGAUCAAAAAGGAGAAAGUGGAAUGCGACAUCACCCCCAAGGAGAGGAAGACCAUGGGCCAAGAGCUUCAGGGUGACCCAGUCAUAGGCCCGGGAGAGACAGAUCUGCACUAGAUGCUGUGCAGAGCCCUGACACCCAGAGCAGAUGCUGCUGCUGCGAUGAGUCUGGGGAUCAGGUGUUCAGAACCGCUGCUCGAGUGGUCCACUGCCCAGUGGGAGGAAGUGCUCUGAGGUGUAGAUCUCCUGCGUGGAUCACAGCCAGCCAGGCUUGCAGCCUUCAGGAUGCCUCACUCUCCCUCCCACCUGCCGGGGUCUUUCGCUGUCACCCAGGCUGGAGUGCAGUGGUGCGAUCUUGGCUCACUGCAACCUCCGCCUCCCGGAUUCCAGUGAUUCUCCCACCUCAGCCUCCUGAGUAGCUGGAACUGCUGGUCUGCGCCACUACGCCUGGCUAAUUUUUGUAUUUUUAAUAGAGAUGAGGUUUCACCAUGUUGGCCAGCCUGGUCUUGAAUUCCUAAUCUCAAGUGAUCCACUUACUCCAGCCUCCCAAAGUGCUGGGAUUACAGGUGUGAGCCACCUCGCCCGGCCCAAUUUCUUUAUAUGGUUCCUGAAAGAUAGGGCCAUGGGAAACCCCAAGCUUACAUCUGAUGUUAGUUAUUUCAGAUGAAAGAGAAAACGUCUCGCUCCCUGUUGCUAUAUAUCCCAGGGAAAGGCUCUGAUUGGCCAAGCUUGGGUCACAUGGCUCCAUCUUGGACCAAUCACUGUGGCUACAAGAUGUGCUAUGAUAAUCCACCAGACCUGGAUCUCAGGCCAUUUCAGUGUGGGAAUGGGGUGGGAGUGGCAGGUGUUACAGAGAGCAGCCCCACAAGAAUCAUAUGUGGUUUUACAGAAGAAGGAGGGUUGCUCUUAUCAGAAAGGCAAUGAGAUAGCCUUCUAAGGUGGUCUCCAGUGAUCACCACCACCUUCUGUUAUCAAGCCUGCAUGUAAUCUCCCUGUGAGUGUGGGAUGGUCCUAGUAAGUCACUUUUAAUGAGUAGAAUAUGAGGAAAGUGGUGGGAUAUCACUUCUGAGAUUAUUUUACAAAAGUUUGUGAUCUCUCUCUCUCUCCCCUUUGCUCACUCUGAGGAAGCCACCUCCCACAUUGUGAGCUGCCUUAUGGAAAGGCCCAUAUGGCAAGGAACUGAGGGUUGCCUCUGGCCAAAGCCAGCAAGAAACUGAGACCCUCAAUCCAAUAGUCCACAAGGAACUGAAUCUUGCCAAUAACCACUGAGCGAGCUUGGAAAUGGAUACUUCCCUAUCCGAACAUGGAGAUGAAGACAGCUCUGGCAAACACUGAUUGCAGUCUUGGGAGAGACCCUGAGCUGGGUGACUCCUUACCCAUAGAAACUGGGGGGAAAAAAAUCUAUGUUGCUUUAAGUUGCUAAACUUUAGGGUAAUUUGCUAUACAGUAGCAGAAAACGAAUACAGGGAGAAAGGACAUUGGACAGACAGAAAAAGUGAGCAGACAUCCACCACAGAACUUACUAGAACACACAAAUACCAUCAUUGUUUUGGCUGCCUGAAUGUCCUCAGACUUUUCCUUCCAGGUUUGUUUUCCUCUCUGCCUGGAUUAUCCUUUUUUUUCUUCACACUUUUAAUUUCUUCCCAUUCACCAUGCUUUCCUAGGAGCCAACAGGAGAGGGAAAAGUGCAGGGAAGGGAAACAUGGGAAGAAACUGGCAAUAAUGAGGGCCUACUAUGUGUCAAGCACAUUGCAGGCCAUUUUCCACUGCUGAUCUCACACAAUCAUUCCUCCCAAUCCUACAAGGCUGGUUUUGUUAGUUCUAUUCUGCAAAUAAGAAAAUAGAAGCUUGGAAAGUUGACAUCACUUGCUCAGGACUACUCAUCCAGGAAGUGGCAGCGCUGGGACACAAGCGAAGGACAUUCAUUCCACAGCAGCGUGCUGCCUCCUGGCAGGCAGUUAAUUGUUUUUAUCUGAUAAUAGGCCAGCUCGUUCCUGCUGGUGGGGUGUGAUGACUCCAACAUCAGGCCUUCACUCAGAAAGGGCUGACCUGUUGAUUGUAAUGCUUUCACCGAAUUACUCUGUUCUUUUAUUUCUGUGCCAACAGGUAAAUUUCUAACCAGACCUGCUGCCAGAUGAACAAGUCCCCUGGGAAGGAAUCCCUUCUUCAGUCUUCAAGUCAAACUGCUUCUGUGCUAACCAAAGGCUAAGCCUGCCAGGGAGGGGGCAGUGCCACCUGCUUCCAAAGGCGCUGUGACAGCUCUUGUUUAUUGAAGAGGGCUGCCCAUCCCAGUGAAGUAAGAUAACCAGGAAUUUUAUUUCUGAGAGAGAGUAUCCUGGGCCUCCACAUCAAGGAGCAGGAAAGCUCAGCCUUGGCUUCUUGAGCUAUAUCCCAGGGAGCUGUAUCAGCAAAUGGACAGGUGGAACUCUGAUGCCUUCACCAAGAUGGUUGAACAAGAGAACAAGAUAGAGUUCUCAUCAGCUGAACAAAAGAAAUCAUGACAGAGACUAGAAGAUGUAAAGGCCUAGUUUCGGAGACAGAGACAAGUAAUUUCCCUGAAAUGUUAUUUGUGCCAUGUGGGUCACAGCUGAACUGCUGAGGGAAGCAUUUUCAGAACAUCACAGAGGGAAGAGUCAUGGGUCUAAACCUUUUAAAGACUACAUUUUUUAAAGGUCAACUGCUUUUUCCCUGGAGGGGAUCCUUGUAAUAGGUACUAUAGAGAAGGAUAAUUAAUAAUCAUGAUGUUGAGAAAGUGGCCUGAAAAAGAAAAAAAAAAAACUUGGAACCAGCUUCUCAUCGAAGAUGUGCCUCUCUCCCUCCCUGCAUUGCUGUGAUCUAGGGUUGCAGUGAUGCCCAGUUUUCCAGACCCUAGCUCUCACAGUCCGGACCAACUUGCAGCUGCAUUUCAGUAUCAAUCCAAUUUACAGAGCUGGAAUUACGUUGUAGCGGGGCCCACUAACAUGAACAUACAUUGUAAAUUCUUUUUCCUCCUAUUUGUAUUUUCAAUAUUCUUUGUUAAUUGUGAUAAUCCCUUAUGACAAAUGUGUGAUGUAUUUGCGUACCUCAGAUUGAGCAUAUGUCUGGUAUGAAACAAGUUGCCCCACAAAAAAUUGGGGAGAGGCCGGGCAUGGUGGCUCAUGCUUGUAAUCCCAGCACUUUGGGAGGCUGAGGCAGGUGGAUCACUGAGUCCGGGAGACCAGCCUGGGCAACGUGGCAAGACCCCAUCUCUACAAAAAAAUGCAAUACUUAGCUGGGCAUGGUUAGGCACACCUGUGAUCCCAGAUACUCAGGAGGCUGAGGUGGGAGGAUCAUUUGAGCCCAGGAGGUCAAGUUUGCAGUGAGCUGUGAUUGUGCCACUGCAUUCCAGCCUGGCAACAGAAUGAAACCCUGUCUCAAAACAACACAACCACACACACACACACACACACACAAAAUUGGGGUAAGAACAAAAAAUUGGGGGAAGAAAUUGGACAUAUGAGUUUUGAAGGCAUAACAUCUGCCUUCUCAUUGCUGAGACAAGUCAUCUAUUUUUAACUUCCAUUUUCACGUUAAGGAUUUCUCCCAGGCUAUCCUUCAAUCUCUACCAUCUCUGAAUUCCAAAGUUUUCUGUCCUUGCUCCUUGGGGUGUUCCGCAGCCUCCUGUCAGACUCUCCAAGGCUCCUUGUCUGCUGGGACUGUGCAUGCCCCACCGAGGCCACAUCCUACCAAUAUUGCAGCUUGGCUCCAGAAUGGAUUAGAUAAUUUUUGCUAAGCUCCUGCAGCUAGGUGUGUUUUUGUGAGGCUCACCCUAUUCUCAGAGUUGUGAAUCAUGACAGCUGACCCUUACUGAGCACGCAUAUAUGCUAGGCACGUGCUAUGCUUUUUAUGUGCAUCAUCUUGGUUAAUCCUAAUAAGAAGCUCAUCCUUCUCAUCAGCUCUGCUUUACAGAUGGGACACUAAGGAACAGAGAGGUUAAAUGACAUGCACACAGUUACAAAUCUAGUGGUAGUGCUGGAAUUUGAACCCAGUCAACCUGACUCCAGAAUCUGUGUUCUUGAUCAUGAUGCUAUUGAUGGGUUCCAGCUUUUAGCCCAUUUCCUGCAGGGUCCUUUGAGUUGCAGUUAAUUGGGUCAGGUGCAGCUGUACCAUGAGAUAAGAUAGGUGUUCAAUAAAUUCCACCCUAGAAUCAUUUGUUGAACAUUUACUGGGUACAAGACACUGUGCUCACUUGUAAACCUGGGGUGUGGGUUUUGGUGUGGAGAUGAAACAUGCUAUUUAGUCACUGAAAUGAUCAAGAAGGAAAUCCUUUUGUUUGUAAGAAUAGUAGAUCUGACCUGAGACAAAAUUGUGAUCUUUCUGUGUCUCAUUGUCUGGCCUUUCUCAAACCCUGACCCUGUCCUUUCUUCAACUUAGGAAGCCUCUUCUGCUUUUCCACCCAGGAUCUUCUCUCCAUGUUUCUGAACCCAGCGCUGCACUCAGAAACAGGGCAGGUGCCUCUCCGUGCAUCUGAAGGCUUUACCUUCAGACCGUCCAGGUGUGCAUACUUCAAUGUUUAUUUAGUUGCCUGCCUCUGGGGAGCAUCCCAGCCUCACUGAGCUUAUACCUUGGGACACCUUGGAAGGUGAAGGCAGCCGAGUCCUUAUCGUAGAGUAAAAUAAGACAAGAACUCUAAAGUGAGGAAAGGCCCCAAACUAAGCAACAAAAGGUGUUGUUUUCUUGAAAAUGAUGACGGAAAUAUUACAAAUAUUGAUUGGUUGCAGAGGUAAUACAUUUGUCAAAGCUCAUCAAAUUGUGCUAAGGAAUACCUUUGCAUUUGUCUGUGUAUAAAUUUUACCUAAAUAAAAGCUUUUUUUUCCUAAGAAAUAAAAAUGCCAUAGUGCUAAAAGGACACUAGUAAGCAGAGAGCCGUUUCCAAGUACAUCAUCUAAGAGCCAUUUGUUCAACAAAUAUUUAUUGAGCACCUGAUAAGUACCAGGGACUGUCCUAGAAUCCAUCAGCAAUGAGACAAAGGUCCCUGUCUCCAUGGAGCUUACAUGCUAGCAGGGCCCUUGAAAGUGGCAGGCAGAGGCGGGCGCUUUGGCUGAUUGUUUGCCCUGAUUGCUGAUCUCAAGAGGAGCAACUGGAAGCUCUAGUCUCAGAGGGGCUCAGUGAUUCAUGGAAAAGGGAGUUUCCUGAAUGUCAGGUCUAGGGUUAGGCUGCAGCCCAUGCUGAGGUCUGAAGGGAGUGGGUGGAUGAAUGGCAGAUAGCUGAAAGAACACUUAAGGAGCUGUAGGUAGGUGAGAUACAGCUUUAUUCAGCAGCUCUCUCAUCAGCAGCUCUCUUACACGGUCUGCUCUGUCUCAGCUGCUUGAUCUGGCUGCUCCCAUGCACAGCUGCGCUGCUGGCUUUCCCUUCAGGGUCAGCAGCUUAACUCUUUCUCUGUCUGGGCAUGAGCGGGCCUAUACAGUGUCAGCAGGGCAAUUAUACCUUUUACAGACAAUAGUGGCUUAGAGCCAAAUGAUGAGCCUUCCCAUGCUAUGGCUACAUGGAUGUGAUGACAAGUGGAGUAAUACACCUAUGCUCUAAACUUGCUGAAUCACUCUCGGUGUUUACCUGGGGCUAUCGCUGACCGAAGCAUAGCCAUGUUCCUUACACUGAAAAAGCCUCUGAAUGCCUAGGGGAAAAAAGUCCUUACAUGCUUGGGGGCUAGAGCCGCACUUUCCGGUGAGGCCCAGAAGAGUCUGCAAAUCUUCCAGCCCCAUCCCCAGUGUCUCUUUGUGGCUUGAGAGGGUGGCUCACCCACCGCCUUACCAUAUGAUCCAUGCCCUCUCCCCCCUAGCAAGGCACCUCCACCAGGGGCCCGGCUUCCUUCAGGCACAUGUGCCCACAGGGCAUGGGCUCUGGCAGAGGCCAGCAAACCUGGAGGCUGGAAGCUCAUUUUCUGAGCUCCAGGAAGGGCGGGGAGGUGUGGGUUCUUUUUGAAACCAGACCUAUGUGCUUAGAAACACCACAGAAGGGCUGGGCAGAGCCACUGGGGGUUGGAUGGGGUUGCUGUGAAUCAUAGGAACUCUAGGCUAGAAGAAGCCAUCUGAGAGGGGAGGUAGGUUCUUUUGAAGUCUCAAAAUCUUUAUUUAAAACAGAAUCCAAGAACCUUUGAUCAUGCAGCAAAGUUUAUGACAUUAUAUACGUAAUAAAGGACAAUGAAGCAACAUAUAAUCCUUGUUAAUUAAAAUGGUCUAAAUUACAUGUAAUCUCUGAAUUUACAAAGAUAGCACAAUGUAUGCAAUAAAUCCUAUUUCACAGUCUUUUUUUAGUAACAACAAG
rnacentral:lncRNA from 10 species